UGCAGUCGAACGGGAUCCAGGCAGCUUGCUGCCUGGUGAGAGUGGCGAACGGGUGAGUAAUGCGUGACCGACCUGCCCCAUACACCGGAAUAGCUCCUGGAAACGGGUGGUAAUGCCGGAUGCUCCGACUCCUCGCAUGGGGUGUCGGGAAAGAUUUCAUCGGUAUGGGAUGGGGUCGCGUCCUAUCAGGUAGUCGGCGGGGUAACGGCCCACCGAGCCUACGACGGGUAGCCGGCCUGAGAGGGCGACCGGCCACAUUGGGACUGAGAUACGGCCCAGACUCCUACGGGAGGCAGCAGUGGGGAAUAUUGCACAAUGGGCGCAAGCCUGAUGCAGCGACGCCGCGUGCGGGAUGACGGCCUUCGGGUUGUAAACCGCUUUUGAUCGGGAGCAAGCCUUCGGGUGAGUGUACCUUUCGAAUAAGCACCGGCUAACUACGUGCCAGCAGCCGCGGUAAUACGUAGGGUGCAAGCGUUAUCCGGAAUUAUUGGGCGUAAAGGGCUCGUAGGCGGUUCGUCGCGUCCGGUGUGAAAGUCCAUCGCUUAACGGUGGAUCUGCGCCGGGUACGGGCGGGCUGGAGUGCGGUAGGGGAGACUGGAAUUCCCGGUGUAACGGUGGAAUGUGUAGAUAUCGGGAAGAACACCAAUGGCGAAGGCAGGUCUCUGGGCCGUUACUGACGCUG
rnacentral:rRNA from 1 species